AAGCUCGUAGUUGAAUUUCGGGACGGGUGGGUCGGUCGUGCCUCCGGUACGUACUGGCCCUACCAGUUCCUCCCUUCUGACGAACCACGAUGUCAUUAAUUUGGUGUCGUGGGGAAUCAGGACUGUUACUUUGAAAAAAUUAGAGUGUUUAAAGCAGGCUAAAGCUUGAAUAGAUUAGCAUGGAAUAACGAAAUAGGACGUUUGAUCUUAUUUUGUUGGUUUCUAAGAUCGACGUAAUGAUUAAUAGGGAUAGUUGGG
rnacentral:rRNA from 1 species